UACGUAGGUGGCAAGCGUUAUCCGGAUUUACUGGGUGUAAAGGGCGUGUAGGCGGCUCUGCAAGUCAGAUGUGAAAUUCCCAGGCUUAACCUGGGCGCUGCAUCUGAAACUGCAGAACUUGAGUACUGGAGAGGAUAGUGGAAUUCCUAGUGUAGCGGUAAAAUGCGUAGAUAUUAGGAGGAACACCAGUGGCGAAGGCGGCUAUCUGGACAGUAACUGACGCUGAGGCGCGAAAGCGUGGGGAGCAAAC
rnacentral:rRNA from 1 species